CUUCACUUUCUAGAAAAAAGCUAUUAUAUUACUGUUAAUCUUCUUGAAAGUCUGAAGGGAAGAAAUGUCCUUCUGCACUGUGGUGUUGCACUACAAGUGAUAAUAACAGUUCUCCAUUCUUUUUUAGUCAUCCAUUACAUAUUCAAUAAAUUCGUCUGCCAUCAGAAGAAAGAGAUAGCAGGUCUUCCUGAGCUGAUCCUGGGAGCAAAGGCACACCAGAUAAUGCAUAUUUGAGUAUUAGGUAUUUCAAAUUCUCUGGUAUCCAACAUGGUUUUCAUCUUCUGCCUCAGGUGUGUGAGGAUAUUCCGAUCUCAUCAAUUGGACUCUCUGCUUGAAUUUCAG
rnacentral:lncRNA from 1 species